CGCGCAGGCGGUCCUUUAAGUCUGAUGUGAAAGCCCACGGCUCAACCGUGGAGGGUCAUUGGAAACUGGGGGACUUGAGUACAGAAGAGGAAAGCGGAAUUCCACGUGUAGCGGUGAAAUGCGUAGAGAUGUGGAGGAACACCAGUGGCGAAGGCGGCUUUCUGGUCUGUAACUGACGCUGAGGCGCGAAAGCGUGGGGAGCAAACAGGAUUAGAUACCCUGGUAGUCCACGCCGUAAACGAUGAGUGCUAAGUGUUAGGGGGUUUCCGCCCCUUAGUGCUGCAGCUAACGCAUUAAGCACUCCGCCUGGGGAGUACGGCCGCAAGGCUGAA
rnacentral:rRNA from 1 species